UUUCACCCAGACUGAGUUCUGUCAGGACUUGCUGCCUGUGAUUUGAAGGCAAUCUCAUAAGAUGAAAAGUCAACAUUGUAAAUCACUACUGCCUCCUAAAAUAAUAACUCAUUAAUCAGAAGGACGGAGAAGACAGUCCCCGGUGAAAACUGCAGCGUUCUGAUUGGAGUCCCGCCCUGCACAGGGAACCGGGAGGAAAGGAGUGGAGAACAAUCGCUUCCCAGCGUGGGGGCUCAAUCUUGCCGGGGUGACCUUGAUGGAACCUUUAAGCGUGAUGCUUACAGCUUAAAGUUCAGGGCAAAAUAAAGACUAGCUUUUAACUUCCAAAGGCUCACAGUCCAUACCUGUACGUCCCACUCUAAGAAUACCUGACCCCUCAGAUGGAGACUGACUGUGGAAAGCUGCACGUUUCCAGCAAUUAGGACCAAAAAAGAAGCGUCUUCUAUUUUGACCGUUUAAGGACAGUUGACAGGCGUGCGAAGAUGCUGCUGCAUAACCACACAGAGCACACACCAUGCAGAGUCCCUCCCCACCCCGUCCACACGUCUGCAGAGCGAGGAAUGACGCACAGAUGGAAGGCAUCCUGAGGAACAGCCACAUCUGUCCACUUCAGCUUUUACUGCAGGGUUUACGUCCUCCAUCGUGUUCCUCAGUCGGGCUCAGCAGUGCCAGGUCCUCUACAUGGGCUGUGGGAGCCCCUGAGAGAUGGACCUUGCCUCACAAGGCAAUUCAUCAGGGGAUGCUAAAUCAGUCUGAUGUGCACAAGUUAGACAAAUUAGACCAAAAGCCUCUGUGACAAUCUUAGGCUUCUGCUGUCUCAGCUGACCGCUUGGGUUUCUGUAGCCACUGCCUUGAACAUGGGUCUUUAAAAACAACCAAAACAAAAUCCUUUUACACAGGACGUGUGAUAGAUAGAGCAUUCCCAGUGAAAGUGCCAGGCCGGUCAAAGAAAACAUUUAAAAAUUAUGUUGUGAAACC